rfam:Thermobaculum terrenum ATCC BAA-798 chromosome 1, complete sequence.
AGGCGAAUAGCUCAGUUGGUCAGAGCGCACGGUUCACAUCCGUGAGGUCACAGGUUCGAGUCCUGUUUCGCCCA